AUGCGCGCCUUAAGGUUGUUUUCAAGUCUUUUCCCUUUUCCAUCGCCUCCUCCUCCUCACCAAACGUGCUUCCCUUUGGGGUUUUCUCAUUGGUGCGUGCGUUUUGGAUUCCCUUCCCCUUCCCACCCCGCUCCCCCUUUUCGAUUGUGCUGCGCGAGAGAAAUCGCAUUUUUUGGGGGUGGAUUUCGCUCAUCGGUUUCUUGCCCUGGUACGGUCCCGUCGCCUGAUGUGAAGAUGGCGAGCAGUGCAUCCGAGAAGUGGGCUGUGGUGCAAUACGGACACCACGGUCCUGCAACCAAAGUCUACCGGUUUCAGAUCCUGUUGCCAAAUGGCACAAGCACCAGCCUCAAGCUGCGCGAUCCUGGAGAAGAGAUGCCGCUUCCUGAUUUCUUACAUCGUAUUCGGGAAGAGUUGGGCGAUGCCUCCGCAUAUGGUGGUCAAAGGCGGGGAAUUGAAUGGGAUGGCGAUGUUUAUCUAGAGGACCUGCUGGACAGAAAGAUAGACAAGAAAGUGCAGUUCUGUGAUUUUGUCACGAAGGGUACUAACAUAUUAAGACUCCAGGAUGGUGAAGAAUUUGUCCGGACAUAUGAGAAUAUGUGGGACCUUACACCUCCGACUGAACUGCUUCAAGAGCUUCCGGCAGAAUAUAGCACUGAGAGUGCUCUUGCAGACCUUGUUGACAACUCAUUACAGGCUUUGUGGUCAAAUGGUAGCAAAGAAAUAAAGUUAAUCAGGAUAACUGUUGAUGGAGAAAAGAUUGUGGUUUUUGAUACUGGUAGGGGGAUGGACGGUUCAGAAGAUAAUUCUAUCUCUAAAUGGGGUACAAUGGGUUCUUCUAACCACAGAGUAUUUCGGAAACAAGGUAUCGGCGGGAAAGCGCCAUACUUAGUGCCUUUCUUUGGCAUGUUUGGCUAUGGUGGAACUAUUGCAUCGAUGCAUCUUGGAAGAACUGCCAUAGUUUCUUCUAAAACUAAGGAAUCAAGGAAAGUGUUUACCUUGCAUCUUUCGAGGGAGGCUCUGUUGGAGAAGUCUUCAUCUAAACUCAGCUGGAAGACUGCUGGAGGAGUUAGAGAUCCAUCUGAAGAAGAGUUGGCACUGUCGCCACAUCGAAGUUUUACACAGGUGGAAAUCCACGGCUUGAAUAGGCACUUGGAGCCAGCUAAACUUCGAGGAUUUCUGAAGGACAUAUAUUUUCCAUAUAUACAGUAUGACGAGGAUAAUGGAUCUGCGAGUACAAGGAGGCCAGUUCAAUUUGAGGUGAAUGGUGUAGAUUUAGCAGAAAUACAGGAAAGUGAAGUGACACUUACUAAUCUGCACUCUUCUAAUGGUCCUGAUUUCGAUCUGCAUCUAAAAUUUGCUUGUACUUCAACAAAUGCAGCUAGUCGCCAAGCACAUGCUCGGAUCAAGUGUGUAUACUUUCCAAUUGUCAAGGGAAAAGAAUCUAUCGAUUCUAUUUUAGAAAAGUUAAGCGAAAAUGGCUUGGGGGUGAAAGAAAACUUUGACAAUUUUUCACGUGUGUCAGUCCGCCGACUUGGCCGGUUACUCCCUGAUGCAAGAUGGGGUUCUCUUCCUUUCAUGGAACCUAAACAGAAUAAAGGACAAAAAGCUGAACUCCUGAAGCGAUGCUGCAAGAGGGUGAAAUGUUUUGUUGAAACGGAUGCGGGUUUUAAUCCAACUCUUUCUAAGACUGAUUUAGCACAACACGAUGUUUUUACUAAGGCACUUCGCUGCUUUGAUGGCAGUUGUCAUAAUGACAGCUCAGUUGAGGAGGUUAGUGUUGAUGCUCGUAAAGGUGAAAGAUCACUAAAUCGCACGCAAUUGGAGAAGCAGUAUCACGACUGGAUUAAUAAUAUGCAUGCAAAGUAUGACGUGGAAAUGGACGGAGGGGACGACGAGCAUACUGUUAUUAUCAACCCAAGCAACAAGGAGCGACUUGGAAUAUCUAAAGAUGUUGAAGUUAUUAGAGUUCACACCUCGGUUAGCAGAAAAGGAAAAACAUGGAGAAGAGGAGAUCAUCUGAAAAUCCAACCAAGAGUAGUUGCACGAAUGAAAAACAAUUUCUACUCAUCGAAAAGCAAUUUCUAUGGAACACUGGAAUAUGUUGUUGUUGAAGGACUUCGAGGAGAUAUCUGUGGUGAAGCUCGACUUAUAUGCAGGUCUAUUGAGUGCCCUGGUGAUCAAGGUUGCUUACUCGAGGUAGGUCAAGAUAGUGUGCACCUUAAUAUCAAGGAAUCUUUCUCCUUCCCUAUCAGCGUGAUAGAUGAUAACAAGUGUCAAACCAUGGACGAGGAUUCGUGGUGUCAAAUGCUUAGAAAGAAAAGUGCAAAGGCUCCAGCGUGUAUUGAGGUCUUACGGAAUUCACAAGGCAAUGAUCUUGCUAUAGAUGGGGAUGUACCGUUUGAAAAAGUUAUAGCGGCUGGUUAUAACCAUCCACGUGAAAUUAUAGCUGUAAUCCGGCCACAAAACGCUACAACCUGCUCCACCAGCCUCCUUGACAAGAGAUAUAUUGUGAAGGAUGAUGAUCUAGAGAUGGCAAUGGAGAUUUAUCAUCUGCCUGGAAGCAAAGAUCAUCCUCGUGCAAAGCUUAUUUAUAAAAAGCUCAAGAAACCCUCAUCGUGCAAUAGCAUAAAUGGACUGUAUAUCUUUCAGUUGAGCGAAGAGACAAGCAUGUUUACUAAAUCUGGUGUUUACAGUUUUAUUUUCUCAGUUAGGUGCAGAGAUUCAACUGUCAUUAAGCAUGAAUCGAGGAUAACAGUUCGUCCAAACUCCAAUACUAGACAUUGGCAGUUAUCCUGCGAUGCUGAUUGGUCUGCUGACAAUGCUGUAGUAGAUAUAAGGCUUGGAAUGCCAGUUAGAUGUCUUGCAGCUAGAAGCCAUGAUUUGUAUGGGAACGGAAUUCCUUUCCUUGAUGUACAUAAGGCCGUCAUAACUAUACUUGGUGGUGAUGAUAUUCUAGCUCAGGUUAAGGACAUCAAAGUGGAUCUCUCAACAGAUUUAUUGACUCUGUAUAUCAGAGAUUUUCUGUUCAAAACCAACAAAUUGGACAGAGUAAGGCCGAAUUAUGAAGCGAUGUUAAAGAUUUCUUUAUCUGAUAGUGAACUCUCUCAUCCAUGUAAAGUUAAGCCAGGUCUUCCGUCAACAAUUAAUAUGGAUAUGUCCCUUGCUUGGGAGAAGAAUUUAACUCCUGGAGAAGUUAUUGAUGAUGCCCUUCUAGAGGUGCUCGAUCAUUGUGGCAAUCAUGUUGAAGAAGGGACGGAACUUAUUGUCAAUACUGUUGGACUCUCCUUUGUAGAUAAAUGCGGACCUGUUCGAAAGGUAAACAGCGAAGGAUUUGUUGACCUACGUGGAAUGCUUAAAGUUGUUAGCGGAUUUGGUUCAGAAGCUUGUUUGACGAUUUUUCAUCACAAGAAAAAGAUUUUCAAUAGAACAUUUCAAAUUGCUAUCAGGAAUUUGAAAGCUGUUAAGGUUCCGGAAAGUUGUCCUGCUGGGACCUUCUUGGAGAACAUAAUAUUUGAAGUUUCUGACUGUGAUGGAGUGAUUGACGAGUCAAUACAUGGACUCCAACAUACACUUAGCAUCAGGUCGAAUCAAUUAAAAGAUGUGCAAGGAGCACAAUAUGCAUUUGAACAUGGAAGAUGUGUUCUUCCUCGUGCACAGGUUCCUAAUGAACCAGGAACAGUCAGUUUUGUGGCAUAUCAUACACAUUUUUCUGACCUGGAAACAAUAAUUCAGAUUCAUGUUUAUGCUCUUGAUUUAGUGCGAGUAAACUCGGAGAACGACUUUGAACCUAUAUGCAGCUACCCAACUUCAUCUCUAUCAAGUCAAGAUCUUUUAUCUCCAAGUCAACUUGCUUCUUGUCAAUCUGUUAGAUACAUUGAGGAUGCUCUGAGGAAAGUUUCUGAUGAGAUUGAAUCAAUUGAUUCCAAUAUACGCUCUGAAGAAGAAAUGAUUAAAUUUCUUGAUUCUCAAAAGAAAUCUGUGGAGAAUCGUAUUGCCAGUCUGAAAGAUGAGAUUGGCCACAGAGUUGGCGCAAAAGAGAUAACUCGUCAUAAAAUUGAAGAGAAUGUUGGUACUGCUGCUGCUGUUCUAUGUAAUCUCUCCAACCGUAAAGCAUAUGAACCAGGGCGAUCUUUCAAGGAUGAAGUUGUUGGUAUUGUUGCUCUUCUCGGAACUGUUGCUAACAGAGAUCUCAGUAGGAUGCUUUCUGUGUAUCUUGGUGAAGACAACAUGCUUGCAGUGGUUUGCAAGACUCAGGAUGCUGCUAAUUACUUUGAAAAAUAUGACACUGAAGGAAAUGUGGAUAUUCGCUUUGGUAUUCAUCAGGAAGCAGCUAAACUAGGAGUCCCAAUAAGCAGGAGAUUUCCUAUCAUAUGCCUGGAUGAAAUAAGGCCAUAUAAUGGAGACGUCUUUUGGAACAUAAGGCAAAAAAAGCUAAAUCUGCCUUUUCCACAUUCGAAGACGCACAAGGGAUUUCGUGGGCUUGCGGUCAACUUGAUCAAUCUUUCUGCAGAGAACUUGGAGAUAAUCACAAGUAGUGGACAUGGUCUCCGUGAAACCUUAUUUUAUAGGCUCUUUGGAGAGCUUCAAGUUUAUGAAACACGGAAUGACAUGCGGCAAGCUAUGCCUCAUUUGAGGAAUGGGGCUAUAUCUUUGGAUGGUGGGAUUAUAAAGGGUGAUGGUAUGCUGCUGCUCGGUUACAGUGACCCGGAGAUCAUAUUUCCUGUCAUGCCUGAUGCUCCCGACAUUCUGGAAGACCCUGAGGAUGUGUUCACCAAAGUAAAAAAGAUGAACGCAGAGAAGAGUGUUCUGGAAACGGUGGAGAACAAGAUAAGAAAAGCCGAAGAGAAUCGGCAGAAAUUGGUCAUGAAGCGCAACAAGAAGAAACGCAAAUUCGACGAGAUGGCGGAGGUAAUGAGCCAGCCCAGUGGCAGCCAGCUUGAUCAGUAUCACCCAGUGUCACAGUAG
rnacentral:rRNA from 1 species